rnacentral:rRNA from 1 species
CCAGCUAGUUGCGGUUAUACAAGUAAUACUUUUAAUUUUUUUGGAAGGAAUUUAUUUAAAUUGUGGGCUUGAUUAUUAUAUUUAAGGUGAAAUUUAUUAUUAUUGAUGGUUCUUGUUGGUGAUGUUUCUAAAUUUAAGAGUUAGACUAGGAUUAGAUACCCUAUUAUUUUGAAUGUAAAUUAUUUUCUUAUUAGUAUUAGUGAUUUCUUGAAAAUAAAAAAUUUUGGCGGUGUUUUGUUUAUUCAGAGGAACCUGUUUUUUAAUUGAUGGUCCACGAUUUAAUUUACUUUAUUUGUUAGUUUGUAUAUCGCCGUUUUAAAAAUAUUUUAAGAUAGUUUUGUUUGUUUGUUAUUACAAGUAAGGUCAGGUCAAGGUGCAGUUUAUGAUAAAGUAGGAAUGGGUUACAAUAAAUUUAUUUAUACGUUUAUUUUCCUGUAAUAGGGUUAUAUAAGGUGGAUUUGAAGGUAAAUAUUUAUAAUUAUUUAUUUUGAUAGAUUUGUCGAAGCAUGUACAUAUCGCCCGUCGCUCUAUCUUUUAAAGAUAGAUAAGUCGUAACAAAGUAGGUGUACUGGAAAGUGUACCUGGUGGAA